GAUGAACGCUGGCGGCGUGCCUAAUACAUGCAAGUCGAGCGAACAGACGAGGAGCUUGCUCCUCUGACGUUAGCGGCGGACGGGUGAGUAACACGUGGAUAACCUACCUAUAAGACUGGGAUAACUUCGGGAAACCGGAGCUAAUACCGGAUAAUAUAUUGAACCGCAUGGUUCAAUAGUGAAAGACGGUUUUGCUGUCACUUAUAGAUGGAUCCGCGCCGCAUUAGCUAGUUGGUAAGGUAACGGCUUACCAAGGCAACGAUGCGUAGCCGACCUGAGAGGAUGAUCAGCCACACUGGAACUGAGACACGGUCCAGACUCCUACGGGAGGCAGCAGUAGGGAAUGUUGCGCAAUGGGCGAAAGCUUGACGGAGCAACGCCGCGUGAGUGAUGAAGGUCUUCGGAUCGUAAAACUCUGUUAUUAGGGAAGAAAAAAUGUGUAAGUAACUAUGCACGUCUUGACGGUACCUAAACAGAAAGCCACGGCUAACUACGUG
rnacentral:rRNA from 1 species